rnacentral:RNase_P_RNA from 1 species
GUAAGACAUGCAAUCGCUGCUAGACUUAGAUCUAGGAGAGGAAAGUCGGAGCUCCACAGGGCAGGGUGCUGGAUAACGUCCAGUCAAGGCGACUUGAAGGAAAGUGCAACAGAGAUAUACCGCCUAAGUUUUUACUUAGGUAAGGGUGGAAAGGUGAGGUAAGAGCUCACCAGCAUGAUGGUGACAUCAUGGCUAUGUAAACCCCACUUGGAGCAAGACCGAGAGUGAGGCUUAUGGGGCUGCCCGUCCCGCCUCCGGGUGUGUCGCUUGAGCUUGCUGGCAACAGUAAGCCUAGAUAGAUGAUUGCUUAAUACAGAACUCCGCUUAAGGCUUAUCUC